GCUGACAAGGUCCUUGCAAUCUGUCAGAAGCUAAGCAGGGUUGGGCCUGGUUAGUACUUAGAUGGAAGACCACCUUGGAAUACCAGGUGCUGUAGGCG
rnacentral:rRNA from 1 species